ACUUGUCCAGUUCUGCUCAUUAAAUGGUGGAUGUGAUCCAUUCAAUCUACGCUUCAAUUAUUAUAUACUACACCUCCAACAGAUGGAAAACACCAAAACCCUGUAAUCACCUGCUUCAAAAGACAUGUUUCCAAAUUAGUGUUUUCCCUGAAUGUUAAGCAUAUGCAGAUCUUCAUUUUAAACCAAUCUUGUAAAAUAGGACUAAACAAACAAAACAAUAGCUUAAACAUGUGCUGCAGUUGUAUAGUUUACAUUCACCAUCAAAACAAUGAAUAUCAGUGUGAAUUAAACAGUCCAGUUUAAAUUACCUUUAUAGAACAAACUAGAUCUUACUGGUUAUUUGUCUAAAUCAUUUUACAUGCGUUCCUUAAACAAAAUUCAAAAGAGUUAGACCUGGAGAAAUUAUAAUGAAACAAAUCCAGAAAUUUU